rnacentral:rRNA from 1 species
AUACGGAGGAUGCGAGCGUUAUCCGGAUUUAUUGGGCUUAAAGGGUGCGCAGGCGGGAGAUUAAGUCGGCGGUGAAAUUUUGCGGCUCAACCGUAAAAGGGCCUUCGGAACUGGGUUACUUGAGUGUAGAUGAAGAAAGCGGAAUUUGUGGUGUAGCGGUGAAAUGCAUAGAUAUCACGAGGAACUCCGAUGGCGCAGGCAGCUUACUAAACUACUACUGACGCUCAGGCACGAAGGCGUGGGGAUCAAACAGGAUUAGAUACCCUGGUAGUCCGCACGGUAAACGAUGAUUACCCGCUGUCGGCGGCAGACAGUCGGCGGCCAAGCGAAAGCGAUAAGUAAUCCACCUGGGGAGUACGCCGGCAACGGUGAAACUCAAAGGAAUUGACGGGG